UACGGAGGGUGCAAACGUUGCUCGGAAUCAUUGGGCGUAAAGCGCACGUAGGCGGCCUGUUAAGUCGGGUGUGAAAGUCCAGGGCUCAACCCUGGAAAGCCGGUGGAAACUGUCAAGCUUGAGUCCGGAAGAGGCGAGUGGAAUUCCUGGUGUAGCGGUGAAAUGCGCAGAGUAAUCAGGAGGAACACCGAUGGCGAAGGCAGGUCUCGUGGGCCACUACUGACGCUGAGAAGCGAAAGCAUGGGGAGCGAACAGG
rnacentral:rRNA from 1 species